AUCGCCGUCUUGAAUCUCAAAUUCUUGCUCUUUGAUUUUUUUUUGUUUGUUUGUUUUUUGUUUUUUUUU
rnacentral:ribozyme from 13 species